GCUCGCGGCUGAUUAGCUAGUUGGUAAGGUAAUGGCUUACCAAGGCGACGAUCAGUAUCUGGUUUGAGAGGACGAUCAGACACACUGGAACUGAGACACGGUCCAGACUCCUACGGGAGGCAGCAGUGGGGAAUUUUCCGCAAUGGGCGAAAGCCUGACGGAGCAAUACCGCGUGAGGGAAGACAGCCU
rnacentral:rRNA from 1 species